rnacentral:rRNA from 1 species
UACGUAGGGUGCGAGCGUUGUCCGGAUUAUUGGGCGUAAAGAGCUCGUAGGCGGUUUGUCGCGUCGGCCGUGAAAUCUCCACGCUUAACGUGGAGCGUGCGGUCGAUACGGGCAGACUUGAGUUCGGUAGGGGAGACUGGAAUUCCUGGUGUAGCGGUGGAAUGCGCAGAUAUCAGGAGGAACACCGAUGGCGAAGGCAGGUCACUGGGCCGCAACUGACGCUGGAGGAGCGGAAAGCAUGGGGAGCGAACAGG